GGGCCCGCACAAGCGGUGGAGCAUGUGGUUUAAUUCGAUGAUACGCGAGGAACCUUACCAGGGCUUAAAUGUAACGGGACAGAUCUAGAGAUAGAUCCUUCUUCGGACUCAUUACAAGGUGCUGCAUGGUUGUCGUCAGCUCGUGCCGUGAGGUGUCAGGUUAAGUCCUAUAACGAGCGCAACCCCCAUCGUUAGUUGCCAACGAGUAAUGUCGGGAACUCUAACGAAACUGCCGGUGCAAACCGUGAGGAAGGUGGGGAUGACGUCAAAUCAUCACGGCCCUUACGUCCUGGGCUACACACGUGCUACAAUGGUCGGUACAGAGAGCAGCCACUACGCGAGUAGGAGCAAAUCUUCAAAGCCGAUCUCAGUUCGGAUUGGAGUCUGCAACUCGACUCUAUGAAGCUGGAAUCGCUAGUAAUCGCGCAU
rnacentral:rRNA from 1 species